rnacentral:rRNA from 1 species
AUACAGGGGGUGCGAGCGUUAAUCGGAAUUACUGGGCGUAAAGAGUACGUAGGCGGUUGCUUAAGUCAGAUGUGAAAGCCCCGGGCUCAACCUGGGAACUGCAUUUGAAACUGAGUGACUAGAGUUUAAGAGAGGGGAGUAGAGUUCCGGGUGUAGCGGUGAAAUGCGUAGAGAUCCGGAGGAAUACCAGUGGCGAAGGCGGCUCCCUGGCUUAAAACUGACGCUGAGGUACGAAAGCGUGGGUAGCAAACAGGAUUAGAUACCCCGGUAGUCC